rnacentral:rRNA from 1 species
UGGGGAAUUUUGGACAAUGGGCGAAAGCCUGAUCCAGCAAUGCCGCGUGUGUGAAGAAGGCCUUCGGGUUGUAAAGCACUUUUGUCCGGAAAGGAAUCCUUGGCUCUAAUACAGUCGGGGGAUGACGGUACCGGAAGAAUAAGCACCGGCUAACUACGUG